CUUCUCUCUGUUACCAAAAGCAACUAUUCCUACUAACAUUUUGUUCUUGGUUCUGCUGUCUUGUACUUGUUUCACUUCAACAGGUUCACCCCAUUACUUUUGUUUUCUUUCUUCCUUGUCUCUGUCUUUAAAUUUUCAUUGGUUCGGUGCCUUUUGUAUAAUGGAUGGUUCAGUUUUCCUGAAAUUAAUGCAUGUCCGUGUCAGUUUCUGGUGGGAUCUUCAUUUUAUGCUGCAUGGAGCUUAUGCCCUCUUGAAUUUGGAAAUGCGUGUAUGCUUGUGAAAGAUGCAACAUUUGUUCUUUGAAUUUGAUAAAGAAAUUGUGGAAACUUCUGAUCAUUUAUUACUGCUAAUCUUGUUGAUGCCAAUUAUAUUAAGUAGAAGUAUGUUGUUUAGCUUGCUUUGCUGCUAUGAUGAAGAUAUAGAUAUGGAACAAAGAAAUUAAAUAAAAUUGUGUUCUGACUACUUUAAAAUAA
rnacentral:lncRNA from 1 species